rnacentral:rRNA from 1 species
CCCUUAGAUGUCCUGGGCCGCACGCGCGCUGCACUGAGUGUCUGAGAUACGAGUCUGCCUGGUCCGGCAAGGUCUAGGUAAUCGCUAAAAGACACAUCAUGCUUGGGAUAGAUUAUUGCAAAUAUUAAUCUUGAACGAGGAAUUCCUAGUAAGCGCAAGUCAACAGCUUGCGUUGAUUACGUCCCUGCCCUUUGUACACACCGCCCGUCGCUACUACUGAUUGGAUGUUUAAGCGAGGUUCUCGAACUGCUAGCGACUUAGCUUCGGUGAGGUCGCAGUGUGGGAAGUGAACCUAGCUUUGGUGUCUAGAGGAAGUAAAAGUCGUAACA